ACACACACACACACACACACACACACACACACAUACAGGUGAGCAGGUCCUGAAUUAAAAGCCGAACACACACAGCACACGCUGCAUUUGAACACUUCACACACACAGAACUACAGCAUUCACACACUAACGGAUCGUUAUAUUGUCUGGAUGAAGACGUGGAUUUUUCUCUCAUUAGCAGCUCUGUCUGCGGUGUGUGCGGGACAGCAGGACUGCUGGCGCGGGGCGUGUUACCCUGCGAUGGGCGACCUGCUGCUGGGGCGAGAGCAGAACCUGCGCGCCUCAUCCACAUGUGGUCUGAUGGGGUCUGAGGUGGUC